GUGGGGAAUCUUCCGCAAUGGACGAAAGUCUGACGGAGCAACGCCGCGUGAGUGAUGAAGGUCUUCGGAUUGUAAAGCUCUGUUAAUCGGGACGAAAGAGCCUAGUGUGAAUAAUGCUAGGAAGUGACGGUACCGGAAUAGAAAGCCACGGCUAACUACGUGCCAGCAGCCGCGGUAAUACGUAGGUGGCAAGCGUUGUCCGGAAUUAUUGGGCGUGAAGCGCGCGCAGGCGGAUCUGCCAGUCUGUCUUAAAAGUUCGGGGCUUAACCCCGUGAUGGGAUGGAAACUACAGAUCUAGAGUAUCGGAGAGGAAAGUGGAAUUCCUAGUGUAGCGGUGAAAUGCGUAGAUAUUAGGAAGAACACCAGUGGCGAAGGCGACUUUCUGGACGAAAACUGACGCUGAGGCGCGAAAGCCAGGGGAGCGAACGGGAUUAGAUACCCGUGUAGUCC
rnacentral:rRNA from 1 species